rnacentral:rRNA from 1 species
CUAGCCUGCCCAGUGAAUAUUUUUAACGGCCGCGGUAUAUUGACCGUGCAAAGGUAGCAUAAUCAUUAGUCUUUUAAUAGAAGGCUGGAAUGAAAGGUUUAACGAAAAAUUAGCUGUCUCAAUUAUAAACUUGAAUUUAGCUUUUAAGUCAAAAGGCUUAAAUUUAUUUGAUGGACGAGAAGACCCUAUAGAGCUUUACAUUUUAAUGAAUAAAUUUAUUUGGAUUAAUAAUUUAAAUUCAUUUAUUUGAAUGUUUUGUUGGGGUGACAAGAAAUAUAUAAUUAACUUUUAUUAUUAAAUUUACAUUAAUAUAUGAUUAUUGGAUCCAUUAUUAUUGAUCAAUAGAUUAAGUUACCUUAGGGAUAACAGCGUAAUCUUCCUUCAGAGUUCAAAUUUACAGGAAGGCUUGCG